rnacentral:rRNA from 1 species
UACGAAGGGGGCUAGCGUUGUUCGGAAUCACUGGGCGUAAAGCGCACGCAGGCGGAUUGAUAAGUCAGGGGUGAAACCCCGAGGCUCAACCUCGGAAUUGCCUUUGAUACUGUCUAUCUUCGAGUUCGGGAGAGGUUGGCGGAAUUCCUAGUGUAGAGGUGAAAUUCGUAGAUAUUAGGAAGAACACCAGUGGCGAAGGCGGCCAACUGGCCCGAUACUGACGCUCAUGUGCGAAAGCGUGGGGAGCAAACAGG